GGUUCCAUUGUAUAACGGUUAGCACGUCUGCUUUACAUGCAGAAGGUCCUGGGUUCGCACCCCAGUAGAGCCA
rfam:Pteropus alecto contig109028, whole genome shotgun sequence.